rnacentral:rRNA from 1 species
CGGUGGAUGCCUGGGCAGUCAGAGGCGAUGAAGGACGUACUAACUUGCGAUAAGCGCAGAUAAGGCAGUAAGAGCCGUUUGAGUCUGCGAUUUCCGAAUGGGGAAACCCAACUGCAUAAGCAGUUACUGUUAACUGAAUACAUAGGUUAACAGAGCAAACCGGGGGAACUGAAACAUCUAAGUACCCCGAGGAGAAGAAAUCAACCGAGAUUCCGGUAGUAGCGGCGAGCGAACCUGGAUUAGCCCUUAAGCACUCGGUGAAGUAGGUGAACAAGCUGGAAAGCUUGGCGAUACAGGGUGAUAGCCCCGUAACCGACGCUUCAUCGAGCGUGAAAUCGAGUAGGGCGGGACACGUGAUAUCCUGUCUGAAUAUGGGGGGACCAUCCUCCAAGGCUAAAUACUCCUGACUGACCGAUAGUGAACCAGUACCGUGAGGGAAAGGCGAAAAGAACCCCUGUGAGGGGAGUGAAAUAGAACCUGAAACCGUGUACGUACAAGCAGUAGGAGCACCUUCGUGGUGUGACUGCGUACCUUUUGUAUAAUGGGUCAGCGACUUAUAUUCAGUGGCAAGGUUAACCGUAUAGGGGAGCCGUAGCGAAAGCGAGUCUUAACUGGGCGCUCAGUCUCUGGAUAUAGACCCGAAACCGGGUGAUCUAGCCAUGGGCAGGUUGAAGGUUGAGUAACAUCAACUGGAGGACCGAACCGACUAAUGUUGAAAAAUUAGCGGAUGACUUGUGGCUAGGGGUGAAAGGCCAAUCAAACUCGGAGAUAGCUGGUUCUCCCCGAAAGCUAUUUAGGUAGCGCCUCGGACGAAUACUACUGGGGGUAGAGCACUGUUAAGGCUAGGGGGUCAUCCCGACUUACCAACCCUUUGCAAACUCCGAAUACCAGUAAGUACUAUCCGGGAGACACACGGCGGGUGCUAACGUCCGUCGUGGAGAGGGAAACAACCCAGACCGCCAGCUAAGGUCCCAAAGUAUUGCUAAGUGGGAAACGAUGUGGGAAGGCUCAGACAGCUAGGAUGUUGGCUUAGAAGCAGCCAUCAUUUAAAGAAAGCGUAAUAGCUCACUAGUCGAGUCGGCCUGCGCGGAAGAUGUAACGGGGCUAAGCA